GAGAUAACUCACUACCUUUGGACCAGCCUUGUGUUGUUUUCUUUUAAUCGAGCCAUAGGAGGCUUAAUCAUGAUGGUGUGUUUGAAGAUGAAUGAGCUUGAAUUAUCUGAGACCAAAAACAUUUUGCCCCACUGGGGCCGGGAGUGGUGGCUCAUGCCUGUAAUCCCAACACUGGGAAGCUGAGGCUGGCAGAUCACGAGGUCAGGAGAUUGAGACCAUCCUGGCUAACACAGUGAAACCCCGUCUCUACUAAAAAUACAAAAAAAUUAGCUGGGCAUGGUGGCAGGCACCUGUAGUCCCAUCUACUCGGGAGGCUGAGGCAGGAGAAUGGCGUGAACCCAGGAGGCAGAGCUUGCAGUCAGCAGAGAUCACACCACUGCACUCCAGACUGGGCAACAGAGCGAGACUCCGUCUUUAAAAUAAAUAAAUAAAUAAACAAACAUUUUGCCCCACUUAAUCUUCAAUGAACUUGUUCCUAUUAGUUAAAAAUUCUAACUAGAUUUAGUCUUUCUUCAUAUAUUUGCUUUAGGAGGCAAACUCUGACAGGCGAGUUUAUCUUUUUGGAUCCUAAAUGUGAUUUUUCUCCCUCUUCAUUGGGAAACACAAAUGGACUUCUUUUUUAUUUUUAAAUUGUUGAAUACUUCAAAUCUUGUGAUUUAAAAAUGUUUUUAUUUAUAGGAGUAUUUUAUACAGAAAUCUUGUGAAACCACUGCCCAACCAGAGCGAUGAUUGUUCAAAGAGUGGUAUUGAAUUCUCGACCUGGAAAAAAUGGUAAUCCAGUGGCAGAGAAUUUCCGAAUGGAAGAAGUCUAUUUACCAGAUAAUAUUAAUGAAGGACAAGUACAAGUUAGAACUCUUUAUCUUUCUGUGGAUCCUUACAUGCGUUGUAGAAUGAAUGAAGACACUGGCACUGAUUAUAUAACACCUUGGCAGCUAUCUCAAGUCGUUGAUGGUGGAGGUAUUGGAAUUAUAGAAGAAAGCAAACACACAAAUUUGACUAAAGGCGAUUUUGUGACUUCUUUCUAUUGGCCCUGGCAAACCAAGGUUAUUCUGGAUGGAAAUAGCCUUGAAAAGGUAGACCCACAACUUGUGGAUGGACACCUUUCAUAUUUUCUUGGAGCUAUAGGUAUGCCUGGUUUGACUUCCUUGAUUGGGAUACAGGAAAAAGGUCAUAUAACUGCUGGAUCUAAUAAGACAAUGGUUGUCAGUGGGGCCGCAGGUGCCUGUGGAUCUGUGGCUGGGCAGGUAAACUUUCUGAGAAUUAUUUGAUUUUCUGAUUAUUUGACGAUUGUUAUAAUUCAUAAUUGAAAUUCCGGAUAUAUGUAUACCAUUAAAAAUAUAAAAUUGGAUAAAUUUUUUUUUUCUUUUUUGAGACAAAGUCUCCAGGCUGGAGUGCAGUGGCGCAAUCUUGGCUCACUGCAACCUCCGCCUCCUGGGUUCAAGAGAUUCUCAUGCCUUAGCCUCUAGAGUAGCUGGGACUACAGGUAUGUGCCAUCACACCUGGCUAAUUUUUGUAUUUUUAGUAGAGAUGGGGUUUUGCCAUGUUGGCCAGGCUGUUCUCGAACUCCUGGCCUCAAGAGAUCCACCUGCUUCGGCCUCCCAAAGUUCUGGGAUUAUAGGUGUGAGCUACCACGCCCAGCCAAAAUUGAAUAAAUUUAUAAUGACUUUCACACGUUUCUUGUAGAAAUGGUUUUUUUUUUUUUACCUACUUAGACUCUCUUACUAACAGUAUGAAAAAUGUAGAUUUUAGUGUCUUAUUCUCUGUUAACCAAAAGGAGAUAUAGUAAAUGCUAAAGCUUUGCUUUCAUUAUUAUAAGGAAGAGAAUGAUAGAGAAGCUGUUUGGAAUUGCAUGAAUUAAAAGUCAAACUCACAUUUUAAAUUAAUAUCCUCAAAUAAGAAACCACUUAUUGAAUUCUAGAAGUGUAAACAUUUUGAUAGAAUUUUAUGAAGUCGGCCUGGCACAGUGGCUCAUGCCUGCAAUCCCAGUGCUUUGGGAGGCCAACUUGGCAGGAUUACUUGAGGAAAGGAGCUCAAGACCAGCCUGGGCAACAUAGUAAGACUCUUCAGUAAAUAAAUUAGCCCAGCGUGGUGGCACGCCUGUUGUCCUAACUACUUGAGAGGCUGAGGCAGGAAGAGUACUUCAGCCCAGGAGUUCGAAGUUACAGUGAGCUAUGAUUGCACCACUGUACUCCAGCCUGGGUGACAGACCCUGUUUCUUUAAAAAAACAAAAAAAGAAUCUUAUAAAAGUACAUCCUUUUAUAAAUAAUAGCCUUUAUAGGUUGAAACCAUUGAAAACAAACAUUGUGUCCGAGCUGUGAUUUUAGUUCGCCACAAGCUUGAAAAAUAAUGAAUUGCACGUGAUGUUUUGGGUCUGAUUAUUUAUUCCUUUUAUGAAAUCAGAUUUAAUUUGCGAAAUUUUAUUUUUUUAAAUUUAAUUAUUAUUCUUUGAUUUUAUAUUUUUCAAUGAGUGAAAGCCAAAAAUUGUGACAUUUUAACAUUUAAACUACCUAUGGUCCCCAACUUAUGAUGGUUCUACUUUACAAUGAUGCAAAAGCCCUAUGCAUUCAGUGGAAGCCAUACUUUGAAUUUUGAAUUUUGGUCUUUUCCCAGGCUAGCGAUAUCAGUAUGACACUCUCUCGAGAUGCUGGGCAGCGGCAACAAGCUGUAGCUCCUGGUCAGCCACCGUAUGUGGCUGAACAACUCCGUGAAUCACGCCCAGCUGGAGUGGAUGUUUAUUUUGACAAUGACCAUAAGGGUAAACAACUGGUUCUCUACGGUGUACUGUGUUGCCAGAUGAUUUUGCCCAGCCAUAAGUGUUCUGAGCAUGUUUUAGGUAGGCUAGGCUAAGCUAUGAUGUUCAGUAGGUUAGGUAUAUUAAAUGCAUUUUUUGCUUAGGAUAUUUUCAACUAAUGAUGGUUUUAUUGGGACAUAUCCCUAUCAUAAGUUGAGGAACAGAAGUCUACCUUUGUUCAAUUUUAAUAAUUUUUUUUAGGAUGACAUUGUCUGCCCUCAGUUCUUUUAGUUUCAAAUUACUUUUCAUUAAAAGCAGCGUAAUCUAACCUUAAUUGUAAUGAACACUGUCAUAUACCUGUAAUAUCUUGUAUACUUGUACAUUUUUACAUUUAAAUGUGACAAUAUAAAGCCAUUUAAUCUUCAAAUUUCCCCCCUAGAUUGGCCAUUUCUUAGGUUGUUCCAGAGUGGUGGGAAUUUGUGGAACACAUGAGAAAUGCAUCCUCUUGACCUCAGAACUGGGCUUUGAUGCUGCAAUUAAUUAUAAAAAAGACAAUGUGGCAGAACAGCUCCGUGAAUCAUGCCCAGCUGGAGUGGAUGUUUAUUUUGACAAUGUUGGUGGUAACAUCAGUGAUACAGUGAUAAGUCAGGUUGUUUGCUGAUUUCUAUAACAAAUUUGAAUACUGCACUUUAUAUGUUGUGAUAUCUUUUUACCUAAUACUGAGAAAAAAAAUUAUAAAAUUGGAGGGAUUAUUGUGACUUAAUGUGAUGAUCAGUAUUGUAUUUAAGUGAUACAAAAGAGCUUGCUGAUACCUACUUCCAUUUACUUGCAGAUUUGUACUAUGAACUUCAAUUUCAGUUAUUUGCUACCAAUAUUAUAUUUUUCACUUUUGGUUUAUUUUUGUGAAAAAUUACAGUUGCAUUGUUGAAAUGCUGAAGCUCUGACCCCUAACUCACCACUGACCAACUCACAGCCAUGGCCCCAGACCUUGCGUAGAGAAUGGGUUUCAUAGGCUGCAUGUAUUUAUGCAUAUUUACUAACAAUAUUAUAAAAUAUCAACAUGAGGUAUUAACACUACAUAGUCCUUUGCUGCAUCUAAAAUUAUUUGCAGUUGAGAUUAUUAAAUUAUUUAAAUCCAAAAAAAUACAGUUCUACCACUAAUAAGUAGCAACAACAACUAAUGUAAUUCUUUUGCUGAUUACCAACCAUUUAUUUGCCUCUGUGUUCCUUUGGAAUGUAAUUAUUUCUAGCUAGUUAAAAUUCUUAAAUACCUCUAACAGGUAAAUUAAAAAAAAAAUCGAACUAGUUGACAAAAAGGAUUAAAUAGUCAAGGAGGCUUCCAUUAUGGCAGCCAUAAAAUCAGUAAACAUAGGAAAGGGAUAUUUUAUCAUUAUUUUUCUCUGUGCAGAUGAAUGAGAACAGCCACAUCAUCCUGUGUGGUCAAAUUUCUCAGUACAACAAAGAUGUGCCUUAUCCUCCCCCGCUAUCCCCUGCUAUAGAGGCAAUCCAGAAAGAAAGAAACAUCACAAGGGAAAGAUUUCUGGUAUUAAAUUAUAAAGACAAAUUUGAGCCUGGCAUUCUACAGCUGAGUCAGUGGUUUAAAGAAGGAAAGCUAAAGAUUAAAGAGACGGUAAUAAAUGGGUUGGAAAACAUGGGAGCUGCAUUCCAGUCCAUGAUGACAGGAGGUAACAUUGGAAAGCAGAUAGUUUGCAUUUCAGAAGAAAUCUCUUUGUAAUUGCUGUAAAUGUCAUCAAGGCAAUCAUAGAUUUCUUUUCCAUUUUGCAUAUUUUCAAAGAUAUGUUAAAAAAUCCUUAGACUAUACAUAGCUCUUGAUUUAAAUGUGAUCAUAGGUGUUAUUUUUAGUUGCAUAGGGGAUUUGAUACAAUCAUUAAUGGAUCAUACACAAUAGGUUUUUAAAAAUUAAUAACUUUUAGUAAUUACUUUUAUUAAUUUAAAAUAGAACGCUUGAGAGGCACUUUGUAAAGAUUUGUUGAACUGGAAACGUUUUACAUGAUCUGAUACAACCAUUAAUGAAUCAUACACAAUAGGUUUUUUAAAAUUAAUAUUAAUAACUUUUAUUAAUUUAAAAUAGAAUGCUUAAAAUAAAAUAGAGUGCUUGAGAGGCACUUAGUAAAGA
rnacentral:sRNA from 1 species